rnacentral:tRNA from 1 species
GGGUCAGUAACUCAGUUGGUAGAGUAUUCGGCUUUUAACCGACUAGUCGUGGGUUCGAGUCCCACCUGACCCA